rnacentral:rRNA from 1 species
UACGAAGGGGGCUAGCGUUGCUCGGAAUCACUGGGCGUAAAGGGUGCGUAGGCGGGUCUUUAAGUCAGGGGUGAAAUCCUGGAGCUCAACUCCAGAACUGCCUUUGAUACUGAGGAUCUUGAGUUCGGGAGAGGUAAGUGGAACUGCGAGUGUAGAGGUGAAAUUCGUAGAUAUUCGCAAGAACACCAGUGGCGAAGGCGGCCAACUGGUCCGGUACUGACGCUGAGGUGCGAAAGCGUGGGGAGCAAACAGG